UACAGAGGGUGCAAGCGUUGUUCGGAAUUAUUGGGCGUAAAGGGCGCGUAGGCGGUGCUGUAAGUCUGUAGUGAAAUCUCUGGGCUCAACUCAGAGUCUGCUAUAGAAACUGCAGUGCUGGAGUGUGGGAGAGGUGAGUGGAAUUCCCGGUGUAGCGGUGAAAUGCGUAGAUAUCAGGAGGAACACCGGUGGCGAAAGCGGCUCUCUGGCCCGGAUCUGACGCUGAGGCGCGAAAGCGUGGGGAGCAAACAGG
rnacentral:rRNA from 1 species